GAGUGGUUUUGAUCUAGAAAUUCUGCUUGAUCGUCGAAUUAGGUUAUGUGUGGUUAGCGUCACGUUAUGUUAAUAAAAAGACAAAAUAAAAGACGUCCCAGCUUAAACAAUCAAGCUCCACUGAGUUUAAUCUAAAAAGGAGAAAGAAAUGCUAUAUAAAAUUCAACAACAAAUAUUUUGUUGCAAAGUUGUGAAUAAAUAUUGUAUAUACGAAAUAUGUAAGUAGCAUUUUCCAUUACAGUCUACUACGUUGAUAAGUAUGUCUUUUUUCAUAUGCCAUUAUUAAUUAUCAUAAUUAUUAUGUAAUCCUUAAUUACAAAUUUCGCAUCAUUAAUUAUAAUGAUACGAAGAAUAAUUCUCCAUAUGAAGUUAUAUUUUAAAGUACUUCAUAAGUAAAAAAAGUCAAAUGGUAAAGAAAAAUGCGUAUCUAUUCAUACUAACAUAUUUGUUUAUAGCGCUGUAAUAAAGCGUUCCUUGACAUACGUCAUAUAACAUCUUUUUCUUCUUUUUAUGUGUAAAUCAAGUCUUUGCAGUUUAAGUUCGGGAUAUCGUGUGAAUAUAUAUACACACCGUAUGUUAUAUAUAGUUAGUAUUUACAAAUAUAUAAAUAUUCAAAUGAAAAUCAAUGCUAGGCAAAGUUUGUGAAAUAAGACAACUACAUUACGAUACAUGAAUCGUAUGGCAAGAUGCAUUUGAUCCCAAUUCGAAAGUGAAAUUUGCUUCAAUUCGCAGUUAGCGAUGCGCGUUAUAUGGGUGAAAUUACGUUUCUAAUGGGUAGCGGAGUAAGCUAUCAUUACCAUUGACCUGUAUAUUUCAUUCACAUUACAAAAUGAUUCCAUGUUACAUGCGAUGCAAAAACAAAUAAACUAGUUAUCCACUUAUGAUACGGCUCACGUAACCAUCCUAUCGAUAUUCCUUUCGUAUUUCCACUCUGCUAUAUUGGACUAUAUUUGGCUAUUUGAAGGCACCUGAGUUCUCAGACACUAUAACUACGAAAUAUCGAAAUCUUUGUGGAGUAAAACUCUUGCACGUUGCAAUUCUAAAUACGUGAGUUGCAGAAUAUAUGAAUUCUACAUCUAUGACUGGCAUUAUAGAAAUUGUAUAGUUCUCACGUUAUAUAAUUGAAGAAAUUCAAGAAAAAGACAUUUAUACUUGUAUGUUAAUUUAUAAAUUAUAUUUUCCCCGCGGAAAUAAAUGAAUUAAAAAAAAAAGAAAGAGAAUCAUCAAUAAGAGAUCCAAGUGCAGAUACGGACAAAGGAAGAAUAUAUAUACAUACAUAUAUAUAAGUACACGUGCCUGUCCGUAUGACAGCAAGUCAUGUGAAAGUGGCCUUGUCGAGAUCAUGACACGGUACUUUUCGUCUCUUCGCAUUCUGUGUAGCGUACGAAAAAUUGAUCAAUGAUUAAAAAACCGAUGCUCAGCAUUCGGAAGAAGCACUCGACUUCUUUGCAAUGGCACGAGGAAAAGAUACAAAGGAACCGCAUAUUAUUGUAAUUCUGUGCAUACACGAGACUGAAGCAAUUAAUUUUGAAAGCCAGCCAGUCCCCACCGGUCUUACGUUGGGAGUAACAAUCACGCCGAUAAAACGGUGGCAUAAAACGUAGGAGAAAUUUCUACAAACCUACAAGUAACUCUAUCUAGUGUUGUUUUCUCAGAUUUACUGAGAAGACUGCGUAUUUCGAAACGUAAAAAAUACCCAAGUGACUCCAUAUUAAUUUAACAACUUGGCAAUUACGCUGUUAUCUAUAAUUUACACAAUGAAACAUGCCUAGCAAGCAGAUACAAGCUAAGAAGGUAAUAAAGACAGGACAUAAAAUUCAAGCAGGUGCAAGAUAAGAAGGUAAUAAAAACAGGACAUAAAAUUCGAAUUAAAUCAAAUUUCAGUUAAAAUAUAUUAGAAUCUGCAUUACGUUUUUAGGGAUAAAUACAUAUUUCCAGAUCUAUAUCUUUCCUACGUUAGUAUGAUUCAUGUCUUCCUAAAUCGACCGCAAAUGCAUAUUUUCUUAAAAUUUUAUCUAGAUUCAUCUCCUUCCAGAUGUUCUUCGAGGAUCAGUUUAUUACAUCAUCCAAUUUUCAUCCAUCUUUUGCAAAAUUCUUAUUUUUAAAAGAAAUCUCUAUGCUUGAUCUAAACCUCUCCGUGAACGCGAGAGUUCUGAAGCUUCUUGAACACGCGGCCAUGAGAUAUACUCAACUCCUACCUCGAAUCCGGAACUUUCACCUUCCGUGGAAGCCAGCAGCACGUUGAUUGGAGCUUUUCUUCCAGCUCGUAUCGCGGUCGUUAUACGUUAAUUGCAUUUAGUUGUGUCUGCUUCGCGUCGAAAUGCUUCCACUUGCAGGAUGUUCGAAAGCGACUUCCCUAUCUCCAGAGUGAGAGAUGUAUAAGCACGUGCGACAGAAACUUCUCAUCCUGUAUAACUUGUCACGCGCAUGACAUCUGGAGAAAGUAAAGGUCGUGAGCGGUGAAUCGCGACCCUGAGGACCCUGGGAUGCGCUGGUUCCCUUGAAUCUCAUCUUAUCCCUAGAAAGCAUCUCUCAUCUCUCUUCCUGCCGCUUCUUCUUCUUCUUCCGUAGAAACUAAGCGCUUUCAUCUAGCGGGAAUUAAUGUCUAACCGUGUGGAUAUGGUUUCCUCGUGUUCGUGCGACUUGAUACCUCCGCUUGGGAAUCAAGAGGAAGAUCUUCGCACUUUUACUUACGUGAAAAGUAAAUCUUACAAUUACAGAGGAUAAGUAUAUGGAGUGAGUUAAUAAAAAUUCCCAUUUAGAUAAUCAAAGUACAUAAGAAAUGAAAAGUAUUUUUUGCAGUUACAAAAUGAUUUUAAUUGAUAUAAAAAUAUCAAAAUAUUAGCA